AUGGGAACGCGAAGAACCUUACCUAGACUUGACAUCUCCUGAAUAGUGUAGAGAUACAUGAAGCCCUUCGGGGCAGGAAGACAGGUGGUGCAUGGUUGUCGUCAGCUCGUGUCGUGAGAUGUUGGGUUAAGUCCCGCAACGAGCGCAACCCUUAUUACUAGUUGCUACCAUUAAGUUGAGCACUCUAGUGAGACUGCCCGGGUUAACCGGGAGGAAGGCGGGGAUGACGUCAAAUCAUCAUGCCCCUUAUGUCUAGGGCAACACACGUGUUACAAUGGUGAGUACAGAUAGAUGCGAUACCGCAAGGUGGAGCCAAACUCUAAAACUCAUCCCAGUUCGGAUUGUAGGCUGCAACUCGCCUACAUGAAGUUGGAGUUGCUAGUAAUCGCGAAUCAGAAUGUCGCGGUGAAUACGUUCCCGGGUCUUGUACACACCG
rnacentral:rRNA from 1 species